AUGGACGCCCUGCAGGAAUGGUGGCCUGACGCUCGUCGCCGACUCUCAAAACUGGCACGCAAAGGUUUCGACAGCAUCGUGCUCCUCAUCGUGUGGAGCCUAUGGAUCGAGCGCAACGCCCGGACAUUUGACAACUCGCUGGGCACGGCCGCGCACGUGUGCACCGGCAUUGUGGCUGAAGCCGACUUAUGGAGUAAAGCUGGCGCUGUGGGGUUGCAAUCCUUCUUGAGAUAA
rnacentral:rRNA from 1 species